rnacentral:rRNA from 1 species
ACAGGCUUAACACAUGCAAGUCGAGGGGAAACGACAUCGAAAGCUUGCUUUUGAUGGGCGUCGACCGGCGCACGGGUGAGUAACGCGUAUCCAACCUGCCCACCACUUGGGGAUAACCUUGCGAAAGUAAGACUAAUACCCAAUGACGUCUCUAGAAGACAUCUGAAGGAGAUUAAAGAUUUAUCGGUGAUGGAUGGGGAUGCGUCUGAUUAGCUUGUUGGCGGGGUAACGGCCCACCAAGGCUACGAUCAGUAGGGGUUCUGAGAGGAAGGUCCCCCACAUUGGAACUGAGACACGGUCCAAACUCCUACGGGAGGCAGCAGUGAGGAAUAUUGGUCAAUGGACGAGAGUCUGAACCAGCCAAGUAGCGUGCAGGAUGACGGCCCUAUGGGUUGUAAACUGCUUUUAUAAGGGAAUAAAGUGAGUCUCGUGAGACUUUUUGCAUGUACCUUAUGAAUAAGGACCGGCUAAUUCCGUGCCAGCAGCCGCGGUAAUACGGAAGGUCCGGGCGUUAUCCGGAUUUAUUGGGUUUAAAGGGAGCGUAGGCCGGAGAUUAAGCGUGUUGUGAAAUGUAGAUGCUCAACAUCUGAACUGCAGCGCGAACUGGUUUCCUUGAGUACGCACAAAGUGGGCGGAAUUCGUGGUGUAGCGGUGAAAUGCUUAGAUAUCACGAAGAACUCCGAUUGCGAAGGCAGCUCACUGGAGCGCAACUGACGCUGAAGCUCGAAAGUGCGGGUAUCGAACAGGAUUAGAUACCCUGGUAGUCCGCACGGUAAACGAUGGAUGCCCGCUGUUGGUCUGAAUAGGUCAGCGGCCAAGCGAAAGCAUUAAGCAUCCCACCUGGGGAGUACGCCGGCAACGGUGAAACUCAAAGGAAUUGACGGAAGGGCG